GCCUUGUUUGCGUAGUAGGUAGCGCGUCCGUCUCAUAAUCUGAAGGUUGUGAGUUCAAUCCUCACACAGGGCC
rnacentral:tRNA from 1 species